ensembl:lncRNA
CUCUGACGUCAGCAGUACGCACGCAGAGUGUUCUUUUCAAAUGAUGUCAAGCUGAAAACUAGUCCUGACAAUCCAACAGCUAGACUAGAUCCACUUGUUAAACUAUCAAUAUUUUCUAUUUAUACAAAGGUUCUGUGUGUGGGAAUGGUCAUCUUUAAGGCUCUGUGAUCAAGUUUGUGGGAAAAGUACUUUUGGAAGGUCAGACCACGUUUCCCAAUUGUGAACACAACUCAACAGAGAUGAAAUCCAGCCGAUCCAAAGACCAGAAUCAAUCUGCAUGUGCACCAUGGGAAAAAACAACCUAUAUUUAUUCUGGAAAUUGAUACAAAGCUUUGAUUUGCAAUAAUGAACAUAUUUUGUGAUGGAGCGUUACCCUAAAGGUCACUGUCAGUUGUUGUUUCACAAAAUAGUACACCGCAUAAACAUCGAGGCUUCUCAAUACAUUAUGUUGUUCUUGUUGUUGAGAUUGUCACACCAACUUUAAAUACUGCUAGAAAGUUGAAUCUAUAAUGAUACAUUACCAAAGUUAUUACGCUGUUGAGAAACACAUACACACACACACACACAAAUUUCUUGUACAACCACAAAUAUUACGGGGAGGGCGAGAGCAUAAAGAUAAGGCUUCAGGGAGCAAAAAAAGGGGGCAUUAUUUUCCACUGUAAACACACAGCCCAGUAUUCUAACAGCUGGUUUGGCCCUACAAGUGUUUACUGAGAUCGGUUGAACACUCCUCUGGGGAGCGCCGCCCUGUUGCAGAUGAAAACCUGUAACCAAGUAAUGGCACACUUGGACUGAGUGCCCUGAAGUGCCGCCGGCCAGCGGGGAGAGCACGGGGGGAGCGGGAGCAUGAAGCAUUAUUAAGCUUUUUGACACUGUACACAAUCCCCUCUGCCUAUAGGGAACUGUAUCCAUAGUGGAAGUGAAUCAGAAGUAUAGAAUGCGGUUUAGAAACGCUGACAACGGAGUCAAUACACAGUGCCAGCAUUCUGGGGAGCAAACAUGCUGUCUAACCAUCACAAAUCCGACCAGCACCUUAGAACUGCUUAAGUAUUUUUUGUACAUUAGUUUGGGAUAUUUUUACAUUUUUGUCUACACGGUUCAAUCUGUAACUGAGACAACCCUCCAUCUCCACAAUGAACUUGUGAGUUAAUGAGUUGUUUGCUAAGAAGAGAAAGAAGUGAAUCUUCUUAUUCUAUAAAGUGUAUAUGCAGAGGUUUUGAAGAGAGCCUCAGCGAAGUCCCUCGGUGAUGCAAAACAGAAAUAGAAUUUGCUGCUCAGUGCUGAUAUCACACUACAUGGAGAUGUGAGAAGCAAAGGUUAUGACUUCCAUCGGCACAUAAUGUAUGAGCCGCGAUAACACCUGAAACACAGCACACCAUGUCCUCAGCAGUUUUGUACCUCAGUAGUUUUGCUGAGAAAGCAAAAGAAAGUGCGUUAAACGUUUGUGCAUGCAUAUGCCUUAUUGUACAUGUGUCUAUUUCUAGUAAAGGCUGAUUUGCCCAAUCUCUGUAACAUUUCUGGGUUAUUACCCAGAGCAGGGCUUAUAUGCUUCUAAAUGUGGUUAAAUCAGGGGUCUAAGCGCUGUCUCUUCAUGCAUACACUUUAGAGCUUGUACUUGUUUGCUAGUAUUAGCAAAGACAGGAGAAUAUAGCUCCUGGGGCAAAACAAAAGCACAUAAUAAAAAUUCAAUUUUAUUUUGAAAGGCUUUUGUAAUGAAAAGACCUCGGAAAUGAUGGUCAUGUGGCGGCUGAAAUAUAAAUAUUAAAGAGGUGAGGGGAUUCCGACCAUGGAGAUUUAGGUAAGAUUGGAAAAUGGACCCGUACUUGUAGAGCGUUGAAUGCAGUUGGACCGAUAUUUGAGUAUUCUCUCCAUUCAAAACGCUUCACUGAUGAAUAAUUACUGAUGACCAUACAAACUAACACUCACCCACCAUAG